AACAAGGCGUACCUGCGGACCUGCGGAGGGAUCAUUACAGAGUUCGUGCCCUCGCGGGUAGAUCUCCCACCCUUGUGUAUUCUCUACAUCUUGUUGCUUUGGCAGGCCGUUGGUUCGCCAACCACCGGCUCGCGGGCUGGUGCGUGCCUGCCAGAGGACCUCUCAAACUCGGUUUGUCAGUGUCGUCUGAGUACCAUAACAAUCGUUAAAACUUUCAACAAUGGAUCUCAGAUCGGAAGA
rnacentral:misc_RNA from 1 species